AGGUGUGCAUGACGUUUAUUUUAAUUUUAAAUUUAAUUCAAUUUAUUUUUUUUUUAAAAUUACGUGCCAAGUAUAUAUCGAUAAGACACUAACAUGAAUACGAAUUGUGAUAGAAGAUAUGAUACGAACAAUUUUAUAGUUACCAUAAUUGUAAGCCUUAAUUAUGCAUCCAUAGACAGACACGUAUUAUAUGAUGGGUAUAAAUUAAUAUACGUGUAUUACUACACAAAUCAUAUAGCCUUAUUCUUGGUUAAGGAAACCGUAUAUACUGCAUUAAUUUGUAAUUUGGCGCCUCGUUUGGUGGGAUGAAAUGUGCCCCUAUAAAAGUCGUCUUCCUCCCUCUUCGCACUAGUCUCCGAGUGACAGAGGUCCGCAGUUCAAGGAUCACUCACUUUUGCCUAUUUCUCUCUCACUCACAAACACUGCAACAACCAACUUCCGCGCCACCCAACUGUCAGUCUCUCUACUUCUUCAAAAACCAGACAAAGAUGGCCUCUUCACUUCCAGGAUCGCCCCUUUCUCCGUCUUCGUCAUUCUUGUUUACGAAACCAGUCAAUUGUAUUGAAUCCAAAUACCCUUCACACAUCCCGCCAAGUUCUUCCCCAAACCCGCCAUUUUUAAGGCGUGUCUUUGAUCCCACAUCAAGCAAACCAUUCCGGCAAAGAUUUUCACUUUCUUGCUUAACAAUAAACCAACACCCUGUGGCUCAAAUCCCAAGCGUUUCAGAGAAGGUGCAGAACUUAGAUUUUGAAUUCAAAUCAUUGCCCGAGCCAAUUGACAGAGUGAAAAGAUUGCUGCACUACGCCGCUCUUCUUCCUCCAUUUGAUGAAUCUUUGAGAACUCAAGAAAAUCGAGUCUUUGGUUGUACGGCCCAGGUUUGGCUGGAGGUGAAGAUGGAUGGAAAUGGGGCGAUGAGAUUCAGAGUGGACAGUGAUUCAGAGAUCACAAAAGGGUUCUCUUCUUGCUUGGUUUGGUUACUGGAUGGGGCCGAAGCCGAGGAGGUCUUGAGUGUGAAGAUUGACGAUUUGGUGGAAAUGAAUGUGGGGUUGCCGAGUAGGGGUAACUCCAGGGUGAAUACUUGGCAUAAUGUGUUGAUUAGUAUGCAGAGGAGGACUAAGGAUUUGGUUGAGGAGAGGAGCAGAAGAAAACAUCAGUCUUUGGAAGCUUUUUCUUCCUUAGCUGCUGUAAUUGCAAGUUGCAAGGAAAAUCAGUUGUCCGAACACCUGCUGUUAUAACGCCUUCCUUGGAUCUGUGUACAUGGAAAUGAAGCCAGAGAAGAAAACUUGUAAUAGAAACUACUAAUCAAUGCUCUGAUACUGGAUCAUCAGGAAAGGUACAUCACACCUUUUGACUCUAAAACGUCUUUUAGGUCUCUCCACACAGUGUACAAGUGACAUGUGAAAUGUAAACGGUGUAUCUGAGGCAUAAUAGUUGCCAAUUAUAUCGCGAAUUGCUGCAAUGAUCAUAGGUCGGUUCUGUAACAAUUUAGCCAACCAAUUUUUAGUCUUUAACAUUUUACGUGGACUGACUGAAACUUCAGAUAAUCGAUAUUGAAAAGUUGAGGAAAAUUUUCGCCUUUCUUUGUGAACAAUACGUCUUAGCUUUGCUUUACUGGUAACUGUAGUGCUGCUGAAAGUGAAAAUUUGCUGGCAAAUGGCAUUGCUUAUAAUAAUGUAAUGAUAACCCUCCAUCAUACUGUCGAUAGAA